rnacentral:tRNA from 1 species
UGGAGUGUAGCCAAGUGGAAAGGCACCCGUUUUUGGUGCGGGCAUUCAAAGGUUCGAACCCUUUCAUUCCAGA